rnacentral:rRNA from 1 species
AUGAACGCUGGCGGCGUGUCUAAGGCAUGCAAGUCGAACGGACCUUUGGAGCUUGCUCUAAAGGUUAGUGGCAAACGGGAGAGUAACACAUUGGUAACCUACCCCCAAGACGGGAAUAACCCUCCGAAAGGAGUGCUAAUACCCGAUGUGCUAGACCAACAUAAGUUGGUUUAGUAAAGCUACGACGCUUGGGGAGGGGCCUAUGCCCUAUCAGCUAGUUGGUGUGGUAAAAGCGCACCAAGGCAAUGACGGGUAGUGGGUGUGAGAGCACGACCCACCUCACUGGGACUGAGACACUGCCCAGACUCCUACGGGAGGCUGCAGUCAAGAAUAUUCCCCAAUGCACGAAAGUGUGAGGGAGCGACGCCGCGUGAUUGAAGACGCCCUUCGGGGUGUAAAGAUCUUUUAUUAGGGACGAACAAAUGACGGUACCUAAUGAAUAAGGGGCUGCUAAUCUCGU